AUUAAAGCGUUGAUGAGAAGAGUAAUUAACAAAACUAGUUUAGAGAAUCCGGCUGGUGGAAAAGGAUCGAAGUUACGUUAAUGAAGAUGAGCUCUGAGCUACUAAGCGGUGAUUGCCACUUAGUCGGUAGCAACCGUUACAUUGCCGGGUAUCGUUAGUUAAAGGUACCAGCGAGGCAGAGUUUGUAAAAGCUGUGUAAAUCAGGGUGGUAUCACGAAAAGCAUUCGUCCCUUAA
rnacentral:ncRNA from 1 species